rnacentral:rRNA from 1 species
UACGUAGGGUGCAAGCGUUGUCCGGAAUUAUUGGGCGUAAAGAGCUCGUAGGCGGUUUGUCGCGUCUGCUGUGAAAUCCCGGGGCUCAACUCCGGGCUUGCAGUGGAUACGGGCAGACUAGAGUUCGGUAGGGGAGACUGGAAUUCCUGGUGUAGCGGUGAAAUGCGCAGAUAUCAGGAGGAACACCGGUGGCGAAGGCGGGUCUCUGGGCCGAUACUGACGCUGAGGAGCGAAAGCGUGGGGAGCGAACAGG